rnacentral:lncRNA from 1 species
CUCUCAGUGAGUCCCCUGUCCUUGUGGCAGAGGGAGAAGCCCCCGAGAACCAGCAGCUUCACCCACCCUCCAUGCCAACUCAGCCCAGGGCCAGAGCACCCUGCGCACCUCGCAGAUGUUCCAGUCGGCUGUUGUCUACCACGCAGACCCCCACAAACACUUUUGGUGCUUGAUCUUUGUGCAUUGAAUUUACUUCUGUCCCAAAGAAGGCCUCUAUUAUGUUUCAUGGCAGGAGUUGAGAAGGAGGAAAAGGAGGGAAGGAGGGAAAAGGGAUCUCUGAGAACAAGCUGGAGGGCCAAGGCAGACCUCAAGCAGGAUGCAGAGUUGGCAAGAUUUCAAAGACAGUGCAGUGGUAGGUGAAUUUGUUCAGAUGGGCAAGAAAUGUAGAAUAAGUCAGCCAGCUGCCUUUGCAGCCGGAGGACCUCAGGCUAGAAGGUAAGAAGGGUUUUCAGUGGGG